rnacentral:rRNA from 1 species
CCUACGGGAGGCUGCAGUGGGGAAUAUUGCACAAUGGGGGAAACCCUGAUGCAGCGACGCCGCGUGAGUGAAGAAGUAAUUCGUUAUGUAAAGCUCUAUCAGCAGGGAAGAAAAUGACGGUACCUGAGUAAGAAGCCCCGGCUAACUACGUACCAGCAGCCGCGGUAAUACGUAGGGGGCAAGCGUUAUCCGGAUUUACUGGGUGGAAAGGGAGCGUAGACGGCAGUGCAAGUCUGGAGUGAAAGGCGGGGGCUCAACCCCCGGACUGCUCUGGAAACUGUACGGCUGGAGUGCAGGAGUGGUAAGUGGAAUUCCUGGUGUAGCGGUGAAAUGCGUAGAUAUUAGGAGGAACACCAGUGGCGAAGGCGGCUUACUGGACUGUAACGGACGUUGAGGCUCGAAAGCGUGGGGAGCAAACAGGAUUAGAUACCCGUGUAGUC